GUUUAGGAAAUGUAAUUUACGUUUUACCAUAACUUACAUUGGAUUAUACCUAUAACACAGCUUUCAAGGUUUUACGAAAUGUAGCCAAUUGAUAGACGCCAUUUGCAAAAAUGAUUCGUGGCCAUCUUGAAAAAAUGGAAGUUUUUGAUGGCCAGCACCUGAUUUUUUUUUAAUUAUCAUUGAGUCAACCUUUAUACCAAAUUUCAUGCUUGUAUCACGAUUUGCACAAUUAUGUCCAUAAUAUCUCCCACUAUUUGGCUCCUUUUUGUUUACAAAAUUUACUCCAAAUUAAACAUACUAAAUAUUCUUUUAGAUACAGUAAUAUUUUGGAAAUACCACAGGUAAGAACUACCUCAUUUGGAAAAAAAUCUUUUAGUUUUGCUGCUGCUUCUUUAUGGAAUAGCUUACAGACCACAUUUUAGAAGUCUUGUUCAGUCUUGGAGUGGAACAGACUGUUUUUGAUCUGAAAUUUUGUUUUGUUUUUACAUUUUAAGAAUUACAAGAUUUGAAAUUUUUACCUUAUGAAUUAUUUAUAAAAUUUUAAACUGC
rnacentral:lncRNA from 1 species